ncrna:unclassified sequences RT-2 RNA
AUGGGUCAGUCGUAGUAACCCCGUUGGGUGAAAUCAGUACCCUUUGCAGAAGGAGGGCUUGUACCCUGCCGAAAGGCUAAAACUUCCGGGUAUAUCGUUUGAAAUAUACCCUUUCCGGCAACGGGAACUUCCGAUGUAGUCAGCCGGACGCUGCUUGCAUGGUGAGUGAUUGUACGGUAGCUCAUUUCAUGGCUGGUACUACUAUGCAGUUAGAACCCGUACCCCACAAUAAUACUGUACGGAGGGAACCCCUUUUUAUGACGAG